GAUGAACGCCGGCGGCGUGCCUAAUACAUGCAAGUCGAGCGAACGGACUUGAAUCUUGCUUUUCUGAUGUUAGCGGCUGACGGGUUAGUAACACGUUGAUAACCUACCUAUAAGACUGGGAUAACUUCGGGAAACCGGAGCUAAUACCGGAUAAUAUUUUGAACCGCAUUGUUCAAAAGUGAAAGACGGUCUUGCUGUCACUUAUAGAUUGAUCCGCGCUGCAUUAGCUAGUUGUUAAGGUAACGGCUUACCAAGGCAACGAUGCAUAUCCGACCUGAGAGGGUGAUCGGCGACACUGGAACUGAGACACGGUCCAGAAUCCUACGGGAGGCAGCAGUAGGGAAUCUUCAGCAAUGGGAGAAAGCCUGAAGGAGCAACGCCGCGUGAGUGAUGAAGGUCUUCGGAUCGUAAAACUCUGUUAUUAGGGAAGAACAUAUGUGUAAGUAAAUGUGCACAUCUUGACGGUACCUAAUCAGAAAGCCACGGCUAACUACGUG
rnacentral:rRNA from 1 species